UACGUAGGGGGCAAGCGUUGUCCGGAAUCAUUGGGCGUAAAGCGCGUGUAGGCGGUUCGGUAAGUCCGCUGUGAAAGUCGGGGGCUCAACCCUCGGAUGCCGGUGGAUACUGUCGAGCUUGAGUACGGAAGAGGCGAGUGGAAUUCCUGGUGUAGCGGUGAAAUGCGCAGAUAUCAGGAGGAACACCAAUUGCGAAGGCAGCUCGCUGGGACGUUACUGACGCUGAGGCGCGAAAGCGUGGGGAGCGAACAGG
rnacentral:rRNA from 1 species